CACCACCCCUUUCCUAUCCCAAAAGACAGUGCAUAGCAUUUUACCCACUGAUGGCUGUGCCUUGAAUUUUUUAUUUGAUACAGAAUUCACAUGAUGCCACUCUAUGGACUACCAUUUUGACUCCAUCUCAAAAUGAUGACGUCAUAUCUUAUCACUGGUAACGACGCGAUCCAGGAAACUGUCACCUUCAGCUUCCUACUGGUUCAAUAGGCCCUGAAAAACUUGCAUACAAUCUUCUUUCUGAUCCUGUGCGAUCAUUUGUGGACCUACCUGACACAAACCUUGCAAUAUUCUAACAAUGUCACCAUCAUUCUCAAUGUAUUGAAGCUGAUAAUUUCUUCAUAGUGACUGGUAUGAUGCCAUUGUUCUGGACAUAGGAAGAAAAUAAUGUUGAUUACACACUGAUGUUUUAGUUGCUGCAGAGAAGAGCUUACACUAUGCAAAGUGCUAUCUGUCUUCUCACACUGCCCUGCAGUCCAGGAGCUUUGAGUGCUCAAAAAGCCGGGAGGGGACAGAACCAGGACAGCUGGCCCCAGCUGGACAAAAUAAUAUCCCAUACCGUAUGGUGUCACAGUGAAUUACACAAUUCAGGGAGUUGGUUAGCUGCUCAGGGAGUGGCUGAGCAUCAGUUGACAAGUGUGAAUGGUUGUGUGGUCUGAGCUGCCUGCUGGGUUGAACCGCAAAAUCAUGUUGAAUAUAACCACCAGGUCUGAGAUUCACAUGACUGCCUAAGGCAUGUGAUGAACCAAUAAUUAGAAUGUGAAAUGAUCACAUAAAGAUUACUGAUUGCCAGCUGAUUAUUCUGAAACACUCCUAUUACAGUCAGCAAGAAAAAUUAUCCUGCUAUGUAACUCAGAAACAAUGCCUCUGCUCACAGCAGAAGGGAAAGUAUAUUGGAGUAGGAAUUCUUUGGGAGUUCUCGUGGAAAUGCUCAAUAUUGCAAGUAAACUAUUUAUUACAUAAUUUUUCAUUUAUGGACACUAAGUAUCUGUCAUAUAAUGGAAACCCUUGUGGCAAAAUUAGCUUGUAACCUGACCUUUCACUUUUACUUUUUUUUUUUCUUCAGCUUGACCUACUCACAGCCUCAGGAUCACUAUAUGAAUACACACAAUUCUAAAAAUCCCUUGACAUUACAAGCGUGUUCUCUAAAUAAUAUAUUUUUGCAUGAAUAACUCAUGGCUGUACAGGCUUGCAUAGACCUUUACCUUGCAGACCAAAAAUAAUAAUAGUAAUAGUAAAAUUAAAAGCAAAUACUGUAAGAAAGAAAAUAAAAGAAGAAGGAUCUGUGGUAUUUAAAAUGUUAUCUAUUUAUAGAAUAUGUAUGGGAAUAGAAGUAAGGAUUGGCUGAUGAGAGUUUUGACAAUACUGAGCAGAAAAGGCAGAUGACUAGGAAGAGUGUAUUACAGCACCCUGGUGUAUGAAUUAGGAAUGGUGGAUAUGCAGCAUGGAUGGUGAAAACUGGUGCUGUCUUUAAUCUUUGUAUUGUACUGUCUUGGUCAACUCUGAGCCAUCAAUUUGAUUCCUUUUGAAAAAUGCCUCUUUUCUAUUAAGCAUGUGGUAAUUCCUGGAGGCAACAGGAAACGUUACAUACAUGAAGAACAGCCUGUGCUUAAAUCUUGGAAUUUUCUUGGAAAUUAUCAGCUAGCAUACUACGUUUACUUAAGUAGAAGCUGUAGCCUUCUCUCUCCAACUUAACUACUUCCUUCUACCUUCUUUUUCAUUUUGUUUUGUUUUGUUUUGUUUUAACCUUCAAAUACACAGACCAUACCACAAGGAUAUUUUAUUGUCAAUUAUUUGUUGCUUUUUUUUUUUUCUUUAAAUUGUUGCUGGUAGAGGACAUGUCCCUUUAUUUUGCAUAUAUUCGUAUGAUAUAUACGAAUAUAUAUACAAAUGUGACAUGUGGCUCUCUGUUUUCCUUCUGUAGUUUCAUCAAGGCAUCAGGAACUUCAACCCAUUUUCUGGCUUUUCUGACCUUCUCUGAUUGAUACUGUGUGACUGAUAAUGCAGUGCAAAGAAACAAAGAAACAGAAAAAUGUCCUGUGAUGCAAACAUUUAAGUAGGUAACGAUGCUACAGAUGCAGCUUCUGCUAUGCUGCCUAUAUUCUGACACCUCAGAAUCCUACUUCUGCACUUCUUUUGGACAUAAGCAGACAAUUUCUGAUUCUAAUUGGUACAUAAAUACAUGUCCCUAUGAUUUCAUUAAGCUUGUCACAAGUAAAUUGAGAUAGAAAAUAUUUGUUUAGCCAAAUACAUUUCAAUUUAGACCUUAUUUGCUGAUGCCUAUGGGAGUUAAGCAAGUAAAGGGAAACAGAUAUAACGAAAUGCAGGAAGCAAUCAGUGACAUCAAAGAAAAGCCAUCUGGAACCUUCAAACUUUCAUGUGCACAUCCAGCUCCACAAGUCUCUUUUAACACAUUCUCAGUAGAGAAUGUCAAGCUUUUGGACUCACAGAUAAAUGACAUGACAGAACAUAACCUCUGCUUCUGAAAUAUUCUGCCCGUUCAUUAAAAGGAACCUCCUGAAGUUGGAGCAGAGCAUAGGAAGGAAAUAAAUGGGUAGAAAGACAUGAUAUGAAGAAAAAGAACAAUCAAAUUUAUUUGUUUGCAUUUUGAAUGUAUAACGCUCUGCAUUUCUGAUUAGCCAUUGUUCAGACAGCUUACUGUUAUUUUGUACUGAUUCCUUUAAAGACCAAAAUUAAAAUUGGGCAAAAAUCAAAAAAGCACUUAUGAUCAGUUGAGUAGGUGACCUUAUUUUCCUGACUCCUCUUUUUCCAUACUCCUCUUUCUAGUUCAUUAAAGUUCAAAGACUAUAGGAAAAAAGAGUCCGUCAGUAAUUGUGGCUCGCAUUUUCUUUCCUGAGCAAGGUGGUAUCGGGAGUUAUGUUACAGAGCUCACUGUUCCCACAUCAGCUCUGCAAUUGGACUCUCAUCUUGUAAGAAGGAAUAGAAGACAGACGAGUGCUGUACCAGAAACGGUUCAGAUGAAGAUCAACAGGAUAUUUUUAAACCGUUGUGGUUUCUCUUUAUUUAAUAUGCUAAAUUAAAUAUCUAUCCACAACAAAUCUCCCAAGGCAUGAGUGCUUCCUUUUCUAAAUGUGUGAUACAUUACAUCUCUUGUGUGAUGUCUUCAUCUCUGAAAGUGGAGGGAGAUGUCUGAGUAGGUUUGAGCACACUGGGCAGUAAGACACUACCAGCAGUCAGGAGAAACGAUAAGAAAUUAGGAAGAUUAUUGCUGAAGUCUAUAUUUAGCAGUGAGGAUCUUAUCUCUUAAGGCUCCUUCUGGCACCAAGGGAGAGGUUUCUUUCAGGGACAGCUCUCAGCAGGAGCCCAACUGGUAAGCUGUGAGCAGCCCCCCAGGCACUCAGUGAGGAGCAGCUCACUGGAGAGCCACCACCUGUGAGCAGUUUUCCUUACAGGACUCAGCUCGCUCAGGUGAGCUCACACAUCCCUCUCCUGCACUAAAAGGGACGAUCAGAGAACAGAAGGGCCGUAUGUUACAGAUUUCUCUGUCAGUA